rnacentral:tRNA from 1 species
CGGGGCAUAGCUCAGAGGAUAGAGCAUCUGCCUUCUAAGCAGUUGGUCGCUGGUUCGAAUCCAGCUGUCCCGA